rnacentral:rRNA from 1 species
AUUGAACGCUGGCGGCAGGCCUAACACAUGCAAGUCGAGCGGGGUUUUCGGACCUAGCGGCGGACGGGUGAGUAAUGCGUAGGAAGCUGCCCGAUAGAGGGGGAUACCAGUUGGAAACGACUGUUAAUACCGCAUAAUGUCUACGGACCAAAGUGUGGGACCUUCGGGCCACAUGCUAUCGGAUGCGCCUACGUGGGGUUAGCUAGUUGGUGAGGUAAUGGCUCACCAAGGCGACGAUCUCUAGCUGGUUUGAGAGGAUGAUCAGCCACACUGGAAUUGAGACACGGUCCAGACUCCUACGGGAGGCAGCAGUGGGGAAUAUUGGACAAUGGGCGCAAGCCUGAUCCAGCCAUGCCGCGUGUGUGAAGAAGGCCUUCGGGUUGUAAAGCACUUUCAGCGAGGAGGAAGGGUGGUGUGUUAAUAGCACAUCAUUUUGACGUUACUCGCAGAAGAAGCACCGGCUAACUCUGUGCCAGCCGCCGCGGUAAGAC